GGGUAUAUGUCUUCGGAUAUAGAGACCGGCGCACGGGUGCGUAACGCGUAUGCAAUCUACCUUUUACAGGGGAAUAGCCCAGAGAAAUUUGGAUUAAUGCCCCAUAGUAUAAUUGAAUGGCAUCAUUUAAUUAUUAAAGUCACAACGGUAAAAGAUGAGCAUGCGUCCCAUUAGUUAGUUGGUAAGGUAACGGCUUACCAAGACAAUGAUGGGUAGGGGUCCUGAGAGGGAGAUCCCCCACACUGGUACUGAGACACGGACCAGACUCCUACGGGAGGCAGCAGUGAGGAAUAUUGGACAAUGGGCGCAAGCCUGAUCCAGCCAUGCCGCGUGCAGGAAGACGGUCCUAUGGAUUGUAAACUGCUUUUAUACAGGAAGAAACACUCCGACGUGUCGGAGCUUGACGGUACUGUAGGAAUAAGGAUCGGCUAACUCCGUGCCAGCAGCCGCGGUAAUACGGAGGAUCCAAGCGUUAUCCGGAAUCAUUGGGUUUAAAGGGUCCGUAGGCGGUUUAAUAAGUCAGUGGUGAAAUCUGGUCGCUCAACGAUCAAACGGCCAUUGAUACUGUUAGACUUGAAUUAUAAGGAAGUAACUAGAAUAUGUAGUGUAGCGGUGAAAUGCUUAGAUAUUACAUGGAAUACCAAUUGCGAAGGCAGGUUACUACUUAUGGAUUGACGCUGAUGGACGAAAGCGUGGGGAGCGAACAGGAUUAGAUACCCUGGUAGUCCACGCCGUAAACGAUGGAUACUAGCUGUUGGAAGCAAUUUCAGUGGCUAAGCGAAAGUGAUAAGUAUC
rnacentral:rRNA from 1 species